rnacentral:SRP_RNA from 1 species
GCUGGGCAUAGUGGCGUGUGCCUGUAGUCCCAGCUACUUGGGAUGCUGAGGCAGGAGAAUCACUUGAACCCAGGAGGCAGAGGCUGCAGUGAGCCAAGAUCGCACCACUGCAGUCCAGCCUGGGCGACAGAGUGAGACUCUGUCUCAA